CUGGGGAACCUGCCCCAUAGUCUGGGAUACCACUUGGAAACAGGUGCUAAUACCGGAUAAGAAAGCGGAUCGCAUGAUCAGCUUUUAAAAGGCGGCGUAAGCUGUCGCUAUGGGAUGGCCCCGCGGUGCAUUAGCUAGUUGGUAAGGUAAAGGCUUACCAAGGCGAUGAUGCAUAGCCGAGUUGAGAGACUGAUCGGCCACAUUGGGACUGAGACACGGCCCAAACUCCUACGGGAGGCAGCAGAG
rnacentral:rRNA from 1 species